rnacentral:rRNA from 1 species
UGGGGAAUUUUGGACAAUGGGCGAAAGCCUGAUCCAGCAAUGCCGCGUGUGUGAAGAAGGCCUUCGGGCUGUAAAGCACUUUUGUCCGGAAAGAAAUCCUUGGCUCUAAUACAGUCGGGGGAUGACGGUACCGGAAGAAUAAGCACCGGCUAACUACGUGCCAGCAGCCGCGGUAAUACGUAGGGUGCAAGCGUUAAUCGGAAUUACUGGGCGUAAAGCGUGCGCAGGCGGUUUGCUAAGACCGAUGUGAAAUCCCCGGGCUCAACCUGGGAACUGCAUUGGUGACUGGCAGGCUAGAGUAUGGCAGAGGGGGGUAGAAUUCCACGUGUAGCAGUGAAAUGCGUAGAGAUGUGGAGGAAUACCGAUGGCGAAGGCAGCCCCCUGGGCCAAUACUGACGCUCAUGCACGAAAGCGUGGGGAGCAAACAGGAUUAGAUACCCUGGUAGUCCACGCCCUAAACGAUGUCAACUAGUUGUUGGGGAUUCAUUUCCUUAGUAACGUAGCUAACGCGUGAAGUUGACCGCCUGGGGAGUACGGUCGCAAGAUUAAAACUUAAAUGAAUUGACGGGGUCAUAGCUGUUUCCU